AAACUUUCAACAACGGAUCUCUUGGCUCUGGCAUCGAUGAAGAACGCAGCGAAAUGCGAUAAGUAAUGUGAAUUGCAGAAUCCAGUGAAUCAUCGAAUCUUUGAACGCACAUUGCGCCCGCCAGCAUUCUGGCGGGCAUGCCUGUUCGAGC
rnacentral:rRNA from 1 species